rnacentral:rRNA from 1 species
AGACGUAGGGGGCGAGCGUUGUCCGGAAUCACUGGGCGUAAAGAGCACGUAGGCGGGAUAUUAAGUCAGGUGUGAAAGACCGUGGCUCAACCACGGGGUUGCAUUUGAAACUGAUAUUCUUGAGGGCAGGAGAGGACAGUAGAAUUCCUGGUGUAGCGGUGAAAUGCGUAGAAAUCAGGAGGAAUACCGGUGGCGAAGGCGACUGUCUGGACUGACCCUGACGCUGAGGUGCGAAAGCGUGGGUAGCAAACAGGAUUAGAUACCCUGGUAGUCCACGCCGUAAACUAUGGAUACUAGGUGUAGGAGGUAUCGACCCCUUCUGUGCCGCAGCAAACGCAAUAAGUAUCCCGCCUGGGGAGUACGGCCGCAAGGUUGAA